UAUCUCUUGAAUAUGUUAUUUAU
rnacentral:snRNA from 1 species